GGCCUGUGCACUCUGGUGGAUCAAAGCAAGUUCGAUAUAACGCGGUUUCACCUAUAACGCGGGCUCCACUCCACUCUUCUCCAGGGUAUGGCCCAAGGAUGGGUGAAGGAACUUAUGCAGCUCCUUUAACAGCAGCUUGUGAGCAAAGUCUUAAUCUCUUAUGAGAGUGUCUCCCCUCUACAUCCUCUAAAGAGCAGAAAUCUCCAAAACUGGGAGUUUCAGCGAUAUUCCUCAGACUCGCAGCUAAGCUUCCCAGAAUUAAGCGACCGGCUGCGGACCGCCAGGACCUGGUACUGAGCACAUCCGUAUGGAAUGCUCCAUCAUCCGUACAUGAAAUGGAGCUUAGGAAGGACUCUACCUCAAGAGACCCUCGGCACUGGUGCUCCCCGGCACUGCACCCAGGGAUAGCAGCCCGGCACCACUCGACUUUCCCGGUGCCACACAAGAGACACUAGAAGGCCGAGAGAGGGCACUUGCCAGCCCCAAUAUCUAUAGGACCGUCAGGGGAUGCAUGGGUGCACACCAGAAAGGACCCGGCACCAAGUCAGCAUGAGUCAGUGCAGUUGACUUCGGUGCCCCACAAGGGACCGUUGAGUCCGUCACAUAGUGACUCUCCAACAGGGCAAUGCCAGGUGGAGGUAUUAGAGCCACCCUAGACACUUUUGAAACUGCCAGAGACCUCAUCAAGAUGAUGGCUGCACAGCCCCCGGCUCUCAGGGACAAGCACGUGGCCUGUCAGGGUAAUCCACUGGCAGGCCACAAGACAGUUUAUUUACACUGACCAUCUGCAGGCAGGACCACCCGCAGCUCCCAGUGGCCACGGUUCGCAAUUCCCGGCCAAUGGGAGCUGCGGGAAGUGACACGGGCUGCAGGUUGCCCACCACUGGUCUAGAGGCAAGCCUGCUAUGAUGCAAUGCUCAGUCCCUGGCUCGGCACCAUACCCAGCACCGCUCUCUGUUGCCUUCGGUGUGGCACCACUCCCUAAUACCAAGCCCCACGAGAGCACCUCCGGCACUGGCGACGUGAUGCUCCCCUCCCCAGCACCGAGGCCAGACUGGAACCAAUCCCCAGCACAAGCAGAGGACUUGCACUGACCCACGGAGAGAUCAGAGGACUGGCACCGACCUGUAGCACCAGGCCUUCAUCCUCGAUUGCUGGCACUGGAUACCGGUUACCGGUCCCCAUUGCCAGAUCCCAGGCACUGGUCCUCAGCGACAUCAUCCCGGGACUGGUCCCCCGCCUCAUUGUGGCACUGGUCAUCGGUGCAUGGGCCCUCAGCACUGCCAUGGUCCUCAUGUGCGGGAUCCACUUCCUUGGAGUCUGCUGCCAAUUCUUACUACUGGAGGCGCAGUCGACAUAGGACCGAGUGGCGAUGAAGGAGGACACUGCUGGCCUGGCAGCCGUAGUGGCAGCCCCCAGUGCAGUGGCCCUUUUGGACCCCCUGGGCUUACCAUCAGGCCCAGGGUACCUUUUCAAGAGAUCAGUAACAUCAGAACACCAGCCACCCCACUCUCCUAGGAACAGGCCUAUGCCUCAGGGAUCUGAGGCCACUCUUUCCCAACCGCCUCCUUCAGGCUCCGGUCACGGCAGAGGUGACCCCAGCCACAGAGUCAGGCUACAGCAUCCUAGGCUGUAACCGCCACAGGGGUGUGCACUGACCAAGAGGAGGUCAGAGAGCCAGAGGGGCAGGAGGGCCCAGUACCCCCUCUGGCACCUUGUCCUCUUCCCCUGAUGAAGCUGUGGCAGGGGCAUCAGCUUCGGGCCUCUUCUGAUUGACCAUAGGGCACAUCAGGACCUCCUUAAGGAGAUUGCCUGCAACAUGAGGUUGCAAGCAGAGGAGGUGGUCGAGGCGGAGGACCCCAGGGUGG